rnacentral:rRNA from 1 species
GUGCGUAGGUGGUCGUUUAAGUCCGUUGUGAAAGCCCUGGGCUCAACCUGGGAACUGCAGUGGAUACUGGGCGACUAGAGUGUGGUAGAGGGUAGCGGAAUUCCUGGUGUAGCAGUGAAAUGCGUAGAGAUCAGGAGGAACAUCCAUGGCGAAGGCAGCUACCUGGACCAACACUGACACUGAGGCACGAAAGCGUGGGGAGCAAACAGGAUUAGAUACCCUGGUAGUCCACGCCCUAAACGAUGCGAACUGGAUGUUGGGUGCAAUUUGGCACGCAGUAUCGAAGCUAACGCGUUAAGUUCGCCGCCUGGGGAGUACGGUCGCAAGACUGAAACUCAAAGAAAAUUGACGG